rnacentral:rRNA from 1 species
UGCCAGCAGCUGCGGUAUUACCGAGGGGGCUAGCGUUGUUCGGAAUUACUGGGCGUAAAGCGCACGUAGGCGGACUGGAAAGUUGGGGGUGAAAUCCCAGGGCUCAACCCUGGAACUGCCUCCAAAACUAUCAGUCUAGAGUGCGAGAGAGGUGAGUGGAAUUCCGAGUGUAGAGGUGAAAUUCGUAGAUAUUCGGAGGAACACCAGUGGCGAAGGCGGCUCACUGGCUCGGUACUGACGCUGAGGUGCGAAAGCGUGGGGAGCAAACAGGAUUAGAUA